GGUUAAGCGACUAAGCGUACACGGUGGAUGCCCUGGCAGUCAGAGGCGAUGAAGGACGUGCUAAUCUGCGAUAAGCGUCGGUGAGGUGAUAUGAACCGUUAUAACCGGCGAUUUCCGAAUGGGGAAACCCAGUGUGUUUCGACACACUAUCAUUAACUGAAUCCAUAGGUUAAUGAGGCGAACCGGGGGAACUGAAACAUCUAAGUACCCCGAGGAAAAGAAAUCAACCGAGAUUCCCCCAGUAGCGGCGAGCGAACGGGGAGGAGCCCAGAGCCUGAAUCAGUGUGUGUGUUAGUGGAAGCGUCUGGAAAGGCGCGCGAUACAGGGUGACAGCCCCGUACACAAAAAUGCACAUAUUGUGAGCUCGAUGAGUAGGGCGGGACACGUGGUAUCCUGUCUGAAUAUGGGGGGACCAUCCUCCAAGGCUAAAUACUCCUGACUGACCGAUAGUGAACCAGUACCGUGAGGGAAAGGCGAAAAGAACCCCGGCGAGGGGAGUGAAAAAGAACCUGAAACCGUGUACGUACAAGCAGUGGGAGCCUCUUAAUGGGGUGACUGCGUACCUUUUGUAUAAUGGGUCAGCGACUUAUAUUCUGUAGCAAGGUUAACCGAAUAGGGGAGCCGAAGGGAAACCGAGUCUUAACUGGGCGUUAAGUUGCAGGGUAUAGACCCGAAACCCGGUGAUCUAGCCAUGGGCAGGUUGAAGGUUGGGUAACACUAACUGGAGGACCGAACCGACUAAUGUUGAAAAAUUAGCGGAUGACUUGUGGCUGGGGGUGAAAGGCCAAUCAAACCGGGAGAUAGCUGGUUCUCCCCGAAAGCUAUUUAGGUAGCGCCUCGUGAAUUCAUCUCCGGGGGUAGAGCACUGUUUCGGCAAGGGGGUCAUCCCGACUUACCAACCCGAUGCAAACUGCGAAUACCGGAGAAUGUUAUCACGGGAGACACACGGCGGGUGCUAACGUCCGUCGUGAAGAGGGAAACAACCCAGACCGCCAGCUAAGGUCCCAAAGUCAUGGUUAAGUGGGAAACGAUGUGGGAAGGCCCAGACAGCCAGGAUGUUGGCUUAGAAGCAGCCAUCAUUUAAAGAAAGCGUAAUAGCUCACUGGUCGAGUCGGCCUGCGCGGAAGAUGUAACGGGGCUAAACCAUGCACCGAAGCUGCGGCAGCGACGCUUAUGCGUUGUUGGGUA
rnacentral:rRNA from 1 species